rnacentral:rRNA from 2 species
AACGAACGCUGGCGGCAGGCUUAACACAUGCAAGUCGAGCGCCCCGCAAGGGGAGCGGCAGACGGGUGAGUAACGCGUGGGAAUCUACCUUUUGCUGCGGAAUAACGCAGGGAAACUUGUGCUAAUACCGUAUGUGUCCUUCGGGAGAAAGAUUUAUCGGCAAGAGAUGAGCCCGCGUUGGAUUAGCUAGUUGGUGGGGUAAAGGCCUACCAAGGCGACGAUCCAUAGCUGGUCUGAGAGGAUGAUCAGCCACAUUGGGACUGAGACACGGCCCAAACUCCUACGGGAGGCAGCAGUGGGGAAUAUUGGACAAUGGGCGCAAGCCUGAUCCAGCCAUGCCGCGUGAGUGAUGAAGGCCCUAGGGUUGUAAAGCUCUUUCACCGGAGAAGAUAAUGACGGUAUCCGGAGAAGAAGCCCCGGCUAACUUCGUGCCAGCCGCCGCGGUAA